rnacentral:lncRNA from 10 species
AGAUGUUUUGCUGUAAUUGUAUACCAGGCUUAAUAACGGUCGAGUCUGACAUCCACGUUCCAACAUUCUGUUGGAAUUAAUUGAGGAGAGGACCUAGCAAAGCCGGGGUUACACAUCAAAAUGGAACAGAAGAAAGCUUAAUUUCAACUCAAGAAACUGGAGAAUUGGCCAGGCGCAGUGGUUCAUGCCUAUAAUCCCAGCACUU